UGAGUAACCUGCCCUUAACUCUGGGAUAAGCCUGGGAAACUGGGUCUAAUACCGGAUAUGACUCCUCAUCGCAUGGUGGGGGGUGGAAAGCUUUAUUGUGGUUUUGGAUGGACUCGCGGCCUAUCAGCUAGUUGGUGUGGGUACUGGCCCACCAAGGCGACGACGGGUAGCUGGUCUGAGAGGAUGGCCAGCCACAUUGGGACUGAGACACGGUCCAGACUCCUACGGGAGGCAG
rnacentral:rRNA from 1 species